rnacentral:rRNA from 1 species
CCUACGGGGGGCAGCAGUGGGGAAUAUUGGGCAAUGGGCGAAAGCCUGACCCAGCAAUGCCGCGUGAAGGAAGAAGGCUUUCGGGUUGUAAACUUCUUUUGACAGGGAAGAGCAGAAGACGGUACCUGUCGAAUAAGCCACGGCUAACUACGUGCCAGCAGCCGCGGUAAUACGGAGGUGGCAAGCGUUAUCCGGAUUUACUGGGUGUAAAGGGAGCGUAGACGGUGCUGCAAGUCCGGAGUGAAAGCCCAUGGCUUAACCAUGGUACUGCUCUGGAAACUGAGGAGCUUGAGUGCGGGAGGGGCAGGCGGAAUUCCUGGUGUAGCGGUGAAAUGCGUAGAUAUUAGGAGGAACACCGGCGGCGAAGGCGGCCUGCUGGACCGUAACUGACGUUGAGGCUCGAAAGCGUGGGGAGCAAACAGGAUUAGAUACCCUAGUAGUC